rnacentral:rRNA from 1 species
UACUCCCCAGGCGGGGUACUUAUUGCGUUAACUCCGGCACAGAAGGGGUCGAUACCUCCUACACCUAGUACCCAUCGUUUACGGCCAGGAUUACCGGGGUAUCUAAUCCCGUUCACUCCCCUGGCUUUCGCGCCUCAGCGUCAGACACAGUCCAGAAAGUCGCCUUCGCCACUGGUGUUCCUCCUAAUAUCUACGCAUUUCACCGCUACACUAGGAAUUCCACUUUCCUCUCCUGCACUCAAGAAAUGUAGUUUCCAUCCCAUCACGGGGUUGAGCCCCGAACUUUUAAGACAGACUUACAUUCCCGCCUGCGCGCGCUUUACGCCCAAUAAUUCCGGACAACGCUUGCCACCUACGUAUUACCGCGGCUGCUGGCACGUAGUUAGCCGUGGCUUCCUCCUCAGGUACCGUCAUUACUUAACAUUAUUCACAUUAAGCACAUUCGUCCCUGAAGACAGAGCUUUACGAUCCGAAAACCUUCUUCACUCACGCGGCGUUGCUCCGUCAGACUUUCGU